AGAGUUGCGCCGGGUCCCUGAGGCGAUUGGCUGAGCGCGGUGGAACCAGUCUUCUCAGCUGCCUCUCGGAGGCUGGCGGUUCCCCUCGGCUUCUGUGGAACCCCGCUUCCAAGUCCCCAGUGGACACAGCAUCCCGGAACCUCUACGCCCAAGGCCACUAGCUUGAGGACGCCCGCUUUCACCUCAUAUUCUUCCGCCUCAACAGACACAAGAGGAGGGAGUGCGCGGCACUUGUGAAGAUGCUUCUAUGUGCAAAGAGGUGCCUUUGCGGCGCGGGGCCAUGGCCCAGUGUCCCCACGGGGUUGGGGCCUCGGUGGGAGGCGGGCCUGUGUCUCAGGAACACGCUCCUUCGCCAAAAGGAGCUGGCAUGUCACAGGAGGUGUGGAGGACACCCAAGACUGUGCCUCGCUCCUGGACAGCAGCCAGGGACAGCCAUGAGGAAGGACAGUCCUUGGAUUCAAAAGGGAUCCCACAGGUCCGACUGUGGCACAGGCUGCCCAAGGAUAUUUUGCUCGAGUCCAUGGCAUCUCUCAGCUGAUAAAAGCAUUUCUACAGAAGAAAGAAUGUUAUUGUCAAAUUCUAAAUCUUGGGACUCAGAUGGAGACCACCUUCUGGAGAUUAAAGGUGACAUGCCCAGAGAGGAUGACCUUUGUGAUUGGUGGACACAGAUGACACAGGAAACAUCAGACAACCGGACAGGUCUCUAUGCAACCACAGUGCCAUACUCGUGCUCCUAGUGAAGAAACUCCCCCAGAAAAGAAUAUCUCCCCCAUCCUUUGUUUCCCUCCUAUGAAUUGCACAUCUUCUGGUCCUGCACCUUAGAGUUUCUGAUUUUGCCAUCAUAGUAUCUGAAGCUCAUGACCAAGAAAGAAUUUUUCAGCUGUCUCUGGUGCUGCAAAAAGGCCUCCCUCCGUCAGGAGUCCUGGGACACUUGGCAAGGUAAUCUGACUGCGCUGGACACUUUUCCACAGUAGACCAGGUUAGUUUUGUGACCUGCAGGGAUGUUCUCCUGGGUUGGUGGCCGGGACUCUGGCCUAGGCCCUUCCCUGGGCGGAGUGGAUGGCAGUGGGACUUCCUUCACGGGCCACACUUUCCGUUUCUCCAGAGAUGUGCUGGACUUUGCUGAUGUCAUCUGGGUAUAACAAAAACCAACAGACCCUCCAAACGUGAUCCUAACACUGAAGGCGGAAGUGACACAGUGGAAGAACUUGUCCCAGGGACUGAGGAACUCAGACUCAGCCGCAGUCUGGAAACUGAAGAACACCGUCAGGGACAGAACAGCAUCAGGUGAGGGAGAUGGAUGACCACAUCAGCUUGGAGUGGCGGGAUUACAGAAUAUCUCCCAGGAGCUUCCCCAGGAAAAGCGUUUGGAUGUUGGGAGCAUAACCGCCACACCCUCCAUAGCUUGGUAGCUGCCUUGACCUCUGCUGGCAUCGAGCAAUAAAGAAACACAGUCAGAGGUCAGUGCAGAGUCCCCCUUGACUCUAUCCAGUUUUCAUUUUCCCAUACUUGGGCUCACCCCGCCACGGUGAUCUGGUAGGAACUAGAUUUACCCUUGAGUUGACAAUGUUUAUGGAGUUUCUACCCAAGGCACCACAGCAGGAGCUGGAGAAAGGCGACAAGGGCUCUCUUGAGGCCUUUCGUUUACUGGAGAACAAGAACAAGUAAAUAGGCCACUGCAUCAUAGAAAACCGGGUGCUGUGUGGACUUAUGAAAAUUCCCCAGAUUGGGGCCCUCCAGUCUCUGUUGGAGCAUCAGUAGCGUCAGCGAAGGCCUUUUAGAAGCAGAGACCUUUGCCCGGAGAGCUGAAGAAUGAGUAGGUGGCAGCUACAGGGCUGGUGUGGUGAAAGGAGCUCUGGAGAAUUCCAGGGAGGGGCGAACAGGUAGGAAUCCUUGGCCUGCUCUGGAAUCCAAAAGCAGGGCAUCUAUGGCUGAAAUGGAAGUAUAAAGAGAGAAGCUAUUUCAGAGGAAGCUGGGGCCAAGGAGAGCCUGACCGGCUUGGGAGCUUGAAAAGGCUCAGAACGGGGGCUCCUGGGUAGCUCAGUCAGUUCAGCGUCUGCCUUUGGUUCAGGUCAUGAUCGCAGGGUCCUGGGAGAGGGCCCCAGGUCAAGCUGUCUGCUCCGUGGGAAGCCUGCUUCCUCCUCUCCCAUUGCUUGUGUUCUCGCUCUGUCAAAUAAAUAAAAUAAAAGCCUCAGAAGUUUGUGCCAAAAGAGCAAACACCCCUUUCCUGAUACGGUGUAUAAACAGGCCAGAACGACAAUGUGACAAAUCUGUCUUGACCCUCACCGGAUAUUGAUUUCACAAGACAUGUUACUAAGACUCCUGAGGAAUUAUCUUAGAAUUCAUUUACAGAUUCUCCAUUGAAACAUUAGCCCCCACACCUGAUGAGGGAGCAGAAGGCUAGUUGAGGUCAAGGCAGAAGCUGACACCCUGCACUCACUGUCCCCAUGCCUUGGUGGGACCUGUGUGACCUUCGUCCAGGAAACUUCCAACCAUCUUCAUGUUCAUUCCUUGCUGGAAGGUAAAACCACCUCACUUGGCCAUGGCAAGGUCUCCAGUAUCAUGUAGGUCCUCUUUAGCAUAGGAAAGUGCUUUUGAAACCCUCCCCUUCCCUUUCCUCACCUCCCCCACCUUCCAAGUGUGUAUCAGUUGCCCCCACAACCCUGAUGCAGCUAUUUCUGCCCACGGAUCCUAUCCCUGUGCUUUAAUAAAACCACUGUUUUGCACCAAAGAGGUCUCAAGAAUUCUUUCUCAUCAUCGGCUCUAGACCUCACCCCACCAAACGUCACGUACGUUCCCAAACUCUAUCACUGCUCCCCUGUCUAGCUGCCGCUUGGCAUUACUUCUGUCGUUUCUUGCAAAUGACAGUAAAGUAGGCACCGCUAGGCUUUAGGGAACAGGCUUCAACUCUGGAAACAGAAUCAGUGCACACUAAGAUCAUAGGGUGGGGUAGCAACCAAAUUAAA